rnacentral:rRNA from 1 species
UACGGAGGGGGCGAGCGUUAUUCGGAAUUACUGGGCGUAAAGGGCGCGUAGGCGGCCGUUUAAGUUAGGUGUGAAAGUCCUGGGCUCAACCUGGGGACUGCACUUAAUACUGGAUGGCUUGAAUUCGGGAGAGGAUAGCGGAAUUCCCAGUGUAGAGGUGAAAUUCGUAGAUAUUGGGAAGAACACCGGUGGCGAAGGCGGCUAUCUGGACCGACAUUGACGCUGAGGCGCGAAAGCGUGGGGAGCAAACAGG